UGCUGUGCCAAGAUGCCUUUUUCUCCUCAGCUACAGGCAGCUGCACAGUCCCCUCUUCUUUCUCCAGAUGUCCUUGCAUGCUCUGCUGCGAAUUCAACCUGUCUAUCAAAACUGCCCACCCCUCCUCCCGGGGAAACAGUAGCUGGGGGCGAGUUACGGGGGUUCCUUCAGAGAAUCUGCAGCUUCAUUAAAGGAAUUGGCACCUGUGCUCAAUUAUGGAAACUCCCUGCCAAAAUUACCGACGGGGUAACUGCUGCUGUGGAGCUAGAGCAGUUUCUGGCCCUUGCUCCGAGCUUCUGAACGUGGUCUCUGACAAGAUCUGUGCAAUGAAAUGACUUUAUGGCUUUGCCAUACAUUACAUCCAAAUUAGAAGAGGCUGGCAGCCAUGCAGCUGGCAUAGCAUAGCAGCAAUCAUCCUUACAAGAUGCAGAAGGCAAGGGCUAUUCCAUCCUCAACCAGAGGCAGGGGUGGGAAAGAGAAGGACAACACUCCAGCAGCACCACUGUGUGCCUCUUUUCCUCUCCUAGUGAUCUACAGGGGAAGAAAUCUCUUCCCAGUGCCCAGCCCCUGGUGUUCCCACCUCAUUUUUCAGCUUUGCCAGAAGCUGCGAUCUUCCCCUGUGCCAAUGCAAAAUUCCCUUCGAGUGCCUGCAGUUCUGUCUCUCCUCCUCCCCAGGCAUCCUCUCGCCGUGCUGGUAGCUGCAGGAUAUGCACAACAAAACGUCUGCCUGCAGGUGCUGAGCACUGAUAGAUGCGGGCAGCUGGCUGGCCAGCCGGGACCUCACCUGCUUCGCUCUUGAUGAACUACUCCUUCUGUACUUUAAUUGCUUUUAAUGUUUCCCCCCAUUUAGGCAUCCAUCUCCUCCUCCUGACCCUUCCAGAUUCUCUUCGAGCUGUUUGGUGGACAACACCUCCCCCAAAGCUGCCCAAGAGCACACACAGCUUUCCUCACAUCUUUGCUUCACCGUGCAGCCAACCUGAGCUGACCCACAGAUGCCAAACCCUACCACAAAGCAAGACAAAAGCUUGCUGCUUGCAGACAGCCCAAGGGCCUUUCAAGCUCUCUAGAAGACACCAAGGAGUCUCAAGGCAGACAAAAGAUUGUACUCUUGUUGACUAUGCUAGAAAGCAGUGUCUUAUUCCAUCUAAACCACUUCUGGUCUAUAAAGGACCUGCUGACCAAGUCCAGCCCCUUGCAACUGCAAACAAUUUCAACCAGAGGAUUUGUAGGAGAAAGAAGAACCAAAUCCUGCUCCUUUCUCAUGUCUCUGCAGUAGGGGCACUUGUGGCAUUGUGGUGGAACAGCCAGUCUGUGAUGUGGUUCGUCAGAAGCACCUCGUGCAGCCAACACCACAACGCAUCCCUGUGUCCGUCUGCUAUCCCCAACCCGUUUCCAACCCAAGAGAUAAAGGCAAAUGGCUGUAACCACCCAACAAAAAGAAACAACCAAGUUCCUCAGAUAAUCUCCUUCACUUUCAACAGUGUUUGUGAAGGGAAAAUGGUCCCGAAAAGAGAGCCACGACUGAAGUAGGCUUAAGUGAAGAGAUACACUGCAAUAGUCACGCUGAUGGAAGCAGAGAGAGGAGAUCGCCCUUCACUAAUUUACAGCAGUGGCUGUUUCCCAAAUGAGACAUAAAAUGGCUGUACUUCUCAAGUCUAUAAAAAGAAGCAUCGGAGUAUGUAUUUUACCUGGCAACAUUCACACGGCUAGAGAAGGGAACAUCAAGAAAGUAUGUCAAGAAAAGGCUGUCAGAGUUAAAGCCCAGUUAAAAAACUGUUAGGCAGUAUUUAAGGGAUAGAUAAUUUUACAAGGAUUAGAAGUUUGUCCAGGUGUCAAGUAAAAAUUCAGAAUCAAGUCUACAACAUUUUAGGCAAAAGCGACACCCCUGCCUUUAUUCUACUCAUGGGGUUUAUGCUAGAUGUGGGAGAGGGAAAAGGGGCACUUUGACCCUUUUAGGCAGAUUUCUAGAUGGGACCACGGCAGAUGUGAAGUUCUGGAGUCAUACAAAAUUCAGAGACUAUUACACUGAGAUGUGACAGAUGGUAUGGAAGCAUGGAAUAUUCAAAGACCAGUGCAUUAACUUCAUAAAUAUUAAAUGCAUCCUUAUGGAUUUUUUAGUGAUUAUAUUUGUGACUCUAUAGGUAAACCAGCUAAAAUUUUCUGCACAUAGCAGAAGACCCCAGGCAAGGACUUAAACCAAGCUUUCCAGUGCUGGGAAGGGAAGGCUAAAGUCAAUAAACGAUAUAAGCUCCUGGGCCAACAAAAGCACAUCUGACUUGAACUACCUGCUACAGUCUCUUCAAGGACAUGAGCUCUAUGUGUGUGGUAGAACAUGGGACCACUCCCCAAAAGAACCAAUUGUAUGACCAAGCUGUGACAAGAUACUAACAAAAAAAAAAAAUUUUUUUUUUUUCCAUGGGAAGGACAGCCAGGCAAGUAGGCGGUGAGAGCCAUGGCAUGCUUUGGACAAGCAAAGGAAUGCACAUGCCCUGAAAUUUAAGUAAGAUUCAGUUUAAUCUUUAAUUUAAUCCUUGACAAUCACCUAUUGAGCUUUACAGAUUAUUAUUUUAAGUUUGGGAGCCAAUGAUGACGAAGAAGAUAGUACAGAAUAGCUGCACAGCGUCACCUCCCAGGAGUUUAGGUGGCAGUCAAGGUCUUGAGGACAGCAAGGUGUCAUUGCCACCAGCAGUACCUGGACUAUAUGUGGGGUCUCCCUUCUGAUAACCAGCUGUGGAUGAAACUGGGGCUCUGAUGUGGCUCUAGCAGGAGUGGACGUGUGGUAUGGGAAAUACUCUGCAGGACUGGCACCUAGGCACAGCCUCCCUGCGUGCCACAUGCUGCGCUGGCGGCUGAGUCAUCAUUUACAAGCGUUAUCAUUUGCACGGGCUGAUGUUUUCCAACUGACCUCCCCCUGACUUCUGCUGCUGCACCAGACACCCAUGCAAAGAGUGGCUCUGUCAGCCUCUCCGAGCCUGCCGUCCUUAUUGCCCAUUCCACAUUAUUAAUUACGUACCCACACCAGCUACAGAGAUGGAAUUGCAGCCAAGUUCCUCCUCCGAUCCCGAGAUUCCCCUGAAGUUCAUUAACAUUUGUACUGUAACUGCUGUUGAGCUCGCCACAUUUCCAGUCAAGACUUCGUACCAAAUGAGGUUACCAAAUAAUGACUUAAUUGCGAACACGGGGUAAUUUAUAUAUUGAAAUUAAAGAUUAAGCCUUAAUCUUAAUUAAAUCUCGCAAAAGUUCAGUAAAGCUGCCCAAAUUACAAAAAAAUAAAAAGAUGUAUUGAUUAUUUGAGAAAUGGAAAUCACAUUUAAUAAAUACAGUAGUGAGCCAUUAAGGGAAUGGGGAGAUCAGAAAAAGCACUAACUGGUGAUUAAAAGAAGAUAAAUAUUUAUUAAAUGUUGCUGUGAUUUAUUAAGCUGUGUUGGGCUAAACAAAUGUAAUUUGAUAUCUGAAUCAUAUCUCAUUCUGAUACAGCCUUCAUUAAAUCUGAAGUCUUGGCUUUAAAUGGA